rnacentral:rRNA from 1 species
CCGCGUGUGGGAGGAAGCUCUUCGGGGUGUAAACCACUGUUGCCCGGGACGAAACCCGCUUUUCGAGGCGGUUGACGGUACCGGGUGAGGAAGCACCGGCUAACUCCGUGC